CGCGCAGGCGGUCUGAUAAGUUGGAUGUGAAAGCCUACGGCUUAACCGUAGAACUGCAUCCAAAACUGUCAGACUAGAGUCUGGGAGGGGAAGAUGGAAUUAGUUGUGUAGGGGUAAAAUCCGUAGAGAUAACUAGGAAUACCAAAAGCGAAGGCGAUCUUCUGGAACAGUACUGACGCUGAGGCGCGAAAGCGUGGGGAGCAAACA
rnacentral:rRNA from 1 species